UACGUAGGGUGCGAGCGUUGUCCGGAUUUACUGGGCGUAAAGAGCGUGUAGGCGGCCAAACAGGUCCGUUGUGAAAACUGGAGGCUCAACUUCCAGACGUCGACGGAAACCGUGUGGCUAGAGUCCGGAAGAGGAGAGUGGAAUUCCUGGUGUAGCGGUGAAAUGCGCAGAUAUCAGGAAGAACACCAAUGGCGAAGGCAGCUCUCUGGGACGGUACUGACGCUGAGACGCGAAAGCGUGGGGAGCGAACAGG
rnacentral:rRNA from 1 species